CCGUCGUGAGACAGGUUAGUUUUACCCUACUGAUGAAUUUGGUACGAUGACAGUAAUGUAAGUUAGUACGAGAGGAACUCUUAGAUUGAAUAUUUGGUAACGCCUUUGGUUGAACAGCCAAUGAGGCAAAGCUAUCAUUCACAGGAUUAUGACUGAACGCCUCUAAGUCAGAAUCCAUGCUGGCAAUCGUGCUACUCUCCUCAACCGAUGUUCGUGUAUAGCGAUAGCCUUCGGGUCAACAUCAUACAGUGCUGGCACUGCCUCUUAAAAGGGCACGUACAGCGAAACAUAAUUUCCAAUGUUGGUUGAGUUAAAUCCUUUGUAGACGACUUAAAUAUGGAACGAGGUACUGUAAGCAUGAGAGAGGCCUUUGUGCCUCGAUCUGCUGAGGUUCAGCCUUUGUUUCGGCGAU
rnacentral:rRNA from 1 species